rnacentral:rRNA from 1 species
CAGGUCACUCCUACGGGAGGCAGCAGUAAGGAAUAUUGGUCAAUGGACGCAAGUCUGAACCAGCCAUGCCGCGUGGAGGAUGAAGGCCCUCUGGGUUGUAAACUUCUUUUAUCUGGGACGAAAAAGGGACUUUCUAGUUCAACUGACGGUACCAGAGGAAUAAGCACCGGCUAACUCCGUGCCAGCAGCCGCGGUAAUACGGAGGGUGCAAGCGUUAUCCGGAUUCACUGGGUUUAAAGGGUGCGUAGGUGGGUUGGUAAGUCAGUGGUGAAAUCUCCAGGCUUAACUUGGAAACUGCCAUUGAUACUAUUAAUCUUGAAUACCGUGGAGGUCAGCGGAAUAUGUCAUGUAGCGGUGAAAUGCUUAGAUAUGACAUAGAACACCAAUUGCGAAGGCAGCUGGCUACACGAAUAUUGACACUGAUGCACGAAAGCGUGGGGAUCAAACAGGAUUAGAUACCCUGGUAGUCCACGCCCUAAACGAUGGAUACUCGACAUACGCGAUAUACUGUGUGUGUCUGAGCGAAAGCAUUAAGUAUCCCACCUGGGAAGUACGAUCGCAAGAUUGAAACUCAAAGGAAUUGACG